rnacentral:rRNA from 1 species
AACGAACGCUGGCGGCAUGCCUAACACAUGCAAGUCGAACGAGACCUUCGGGUCUAGUGGCGCACGGGUGCGUAACGCGUGGGAACCUGCCCUUAGGUUCGGAAUAACUCCCCGAAAGGGGUGCUAAUACCGGAUAAUGUCUUCUGACCAAAGAUUUAUCGCCUUUGGAUGGGCCCGCGUUGGAUUAGCUAGUUGGUAGGGUAAAAGCCUACCAAGGCGACGAUCCAUAGCUGGUCUGAGAGGAUGAUCAGCCACACUGGGAGUGGGACACGGCCCAGAAUCCUACGGGAGGCAGGAGUGGGGAAUAGUGGAACAUGGGCGGAAGGCUGAACCAGCAAGGCCGGGUGAGUGAUGAAGGCCUUAGGGUUGUAAAGCUCUUUUAACCGGGAUGAUAAUGACAGUACCGGGAGAAUAAGCUCCGGCUAACUCCGUG